rnacentral:rRNA from 1 species
GUGCCAGCAGCCGCGGUAAUACGUAGGGUGCGAGCGUUGUCCGGAAUUAUUGGGCGUAAAGGGCUCGUAGGCGGCCUGUCGCGUCUGCUGUGAAAUCCCGGGGCUCAACUCCGGGUCUGCAGUGGAUACGGGCAGGCUAGAGUCCGGCAGGGGAGACUGGAAUUCCUGGUGUAGCGGUGAAAUGCGCAGAUAUCAGGAGGAACACCGGUGGCGAAGGCGGGUCUCUGGGCCGGUACUGACGCUGAGGAGCGAAAGCGUGGGGAGCGAACAGGAUUAGAUACCCCGGUAGUCC